UACGUAGGGUGCAAGCGUUGUCCGGAAUUAUUGGGCGUAAAGAGCUCGUAGGCGGUUUGUCGCGUCUGCUGUGAAAACCCGAGGCUCAACCUCGGGCCUGCAGUGGGUACGGGCAGGCUAGAGUGCGGUAGGGGAGAUUGGAAUUCCUGGUGUAGCGGUGGAAUGCGCAGAUAUCAGGAGGAACACCAAAGGCGAAGGCAGUGUCCUGGGGAGUACCUGACGCUCAGGUGCGAAAGCCAGGGGAGCGAACGGG
rnacentral:rRNA from 1 species